GACGAACCGUGCAAACGUUAUUCGGAAUCACUGGGCAUAAAGGGCGCGUAGGCGGCUCCAAAAGUCAGGGGUGAAAUCCGGCAGCUUAACUGUCGCAGUGCCUUUGAUACUGUGGAGCUAGAGGGAGGUAGGGGUCUGUGGAACUUCCGGUGGAGCGGUGAAAUGUGUUGAUAUCGGAAGGAACGCCGGUGGCGAAAGCGAUCCGCUGGACCUCUUCUGACACUGAGGCGCGACAGCGUGGGGAGCAAACAGGG
rnacentral:rRNA from 1 species